UACGUAGGGCGCGAGCGUUGUCCGGAAUUACUGGGCGUAAAGCGCACGUAGGCGGAUCGUUAAGUCAGGGGUGAAAUCCUGGAGCUCAACUCCAGAACUGCCUUUGAUACUGGCGAUCUUGAGUCCGGAAGAGGUGAGUGGAACUCCUAGUGUAGAGGUGGAAUUCGUAGAUAUUAGGAAGAACACCAGUGGCGAAGGCGGCUCACUGGUCCGGUACUGACGCUGAGGUGCGAAAGCGUGGGGAGCAAACAGG
rnacentral:rRNA from 1 species